GACAGAGGUGCCAAGCGUUAGGCGGAAUCACUGGGCUUAAAGCGUGUGUAGGCGGCUCGUUUAGUACCUUGUGAAAUCCCACGGCUCAACCGUGGAACUGCUCGGUAUACUGGCGGGCUUGAGCCAUCUAGGGGCUACCGGAACAAAUGGUGGAGCGGUGAAAUGCGUAGAUAUCAUUUGGAACGCCAAUGGUGAAAACAGGUAGCUGGGGAUGUGCUGACGCUGAGACAGAC
rnacentral:rRNA from 1 species